rnacentral:rRNA from 1 species
AGCGAACGCUGGCGGCAGGCCUAACACAUGCCAGUCGAACGAACCUUUCGGGGUUAGUGGCGGACGGGUGAGUAACACGUGGGAACGUGCCUUUAAGUUCGGAAUAACUCAGGGAAACUUGUGCUAAUACCGAAUGUGCCCUUCGGGGGAAAGAUUUAUCGCCUUUAGAGCGGCCCGCGUCUGAUUAGCUAGUUGGUUGAGGUAAUGGCUCACCAAGGCGACGAUCAGUAGCUGGUCUGAGAGGAUGAUCAGCCACAUUGGGACUGAGACACGGCCCAAACUCCUACGGGAGGCAGCAGUGGGGAAUCUUGCGCAAUGGGCGAAAGCCUGACGCAGCCAUGCCGCGUGAAUGAUGAAGGUCUUAGGAUUGUAAAAUUCUUUCACCGGGGACGAUAAUGACGGUACCCGGAGAAGAAGCCCCGGCUAACUUCGUG